GUCAAAACCCUAGCGGCAUCUCCCCUCAUCUCCCCCGAUUUUCACGGAGCAGCGACACAGAGGCGACCAAAACUGCGAUCCGAGGUACUCCGGCCAUGGCGGUGUGGCAGCUCCGUUCGUCGGAGCAGCGUGUCUGGCUCAAGGCUGUGCGCUCCUCCGCCGAACGGCGCCAGCCAUGUCGAGCUCAUGGCGAGACCCGGAGUCCUUCAGCGCCUGGGAUGCGGGAGGCAUCUCGUCGGCGGCUGCCAACGCAAGCAUUCCGCAGCGACGGUGGCGUCAACGUGCAAGGCACAGAGGCCGGCCGACGCGCGUGUCCAUGAGCACAGCAGCUGCGGCCACAAUCUUCCCGCGCGUCGUCCCGAGAGACGGCGGCGUCGGGAUCCAGAAAAGGAUAGCACCGCGUGGCUUCUUAGGCACAACAUAGCCCAUGAACUCCAGUGGCGAGGAUGAGCAACAGCAGUGGCACCGCGGUGAUGUAGUCGUGGAGAGGCAGCAGCUCAUCCAGGAGCUUCGCCGGUGGCAGCAGGAAGCCGCCGGCACAGCCUUGCGGCGGCCAGAGGUGGAAACGGCCUUCUGAUCCCCUUAGCUCCCCCUUUUUAGGAUCGGUAGUUGAGGUCAUGGUAAAACUUAUCUGUAUGUGAUGGAUCACCCAUACAGGAGAGGAAGUACCUCUCUUUUAUACGUGGGGCUAGGGAACAGGGACCGAAACCAAUAGGUUGUUUGCACCCCCGAUCACAGUGCGUGCGUGAGAGAGGUAUGGUGGGCCAUACCCCAACUUUUCUCUCGGUUGUUAGCCGAGAUCAAUUCCAACAUUGGGAACUUCUUGGACAACAUCCAGACACGCUCACGCUAUGAAAAUCAUGCUAUCGGUUUUUCAUCAAGCACAUCACGACCACUGGUUCGGUUACUCUUUC